rnacentral:lncRNA from 1 species
UUGACCUCUCAAAAAUUUAUAAUUUAAUUUUGACCCCAACUAAAAUAAUUUUCGAUUUCACCCCUGACUUUAAAUAUUAGAAUCUAAAUAUGAAUCAUAUUUUAAAUGAACCUAAUUAUUUUAUCAAAAUUUAAUUUUAAAUCUAAUAUUUUUAUUCAAAUUCUCUUUAAUAUCCUGCCUUAAAUGAGUACUCCACUUUUGAAAAAGUGGUAGUUGUUGAUAUUUCAUUUAUAGUUAUUGUUGUAGGCCAAUUUUGGGCCUGUUACAACCAAUACUAGCCUACCACCCCAAUAAACCCAAACAACCAGAUCAACACUCAUUUACAUUACAAAAUACCCACAGUCCAACAACCUAAAACACCCCUUAACCCACUAACCUAACCCACUAACCUAAACCCAAGACCCAAUAUUACCAAACCCAAUUAACCCACUCAAAACCCUUGGCCCAACAAAAAUAGCCCAACAUCAAAAACAAAAAAACAAAAAUAAGAAACCCUAGUCCCCUAAAGCUAUAGCCGCCGACCUAAUCCCCAACUGCCCUCUGCACCAUUGACCGCCUGCACCACCGGUCACCUCAGCACCGCCAUUCAACCACCACUUGCUCCAACUGCUCCUGCAAGAACACGCAACAGCAACAAAAAGAAAUAGACAGUAUGACAAAAAAGGCUAUAAAAGAGGCCAAAUCUAAUUUCUUUUUUUUGGUCGGCAGUUCAAGCAAAAUAUAAUACAUACAUUAGCUUUAAAAGAAGAAAAACAAUAGAUCAGUAGGAUAGAUCGUUCGAAUCAAGAUUGAAAUCAAAGAAGGUGAUUAAAAUUUAUUGUUUUCUUUCUUUUACCGAAUCUGUUUUCUUUUCUUUUGUUUUUUUUUCUUUCUUUUACAUUUUAAUAUAUAUUUAUAUACAUAUAUAUUGUACUAUUAAAAAAAUAAUAAAAAAAAGAAACAUUACCUUUUGAACCACGCGGUGGCCGGCGACGGCGACGGAGGUGAGGUGCGGUGGCCCUCUUGGCUAAGAUCUGGAAUUUCCCAAAGAGAAGAGGAGAGCUUUCUCACCUGUUUUUUUAAAAGGCUGGUGGAAAUGAAUUUUUGGAUUUUUUUUAGGCUUUUAUAGUUCACUAAAACGACACCGUUUUAAUGCCCAAGCCUGAACGCCAAAACGGCGCCGUUUCAUCUGACCCGCAAGCGACCCGACCCAGUACCAAGGGGAUCCGCAUGUUUUUAUUUUUGGGAAUAAUUUCGCUGCGAGUCCCUCUAUUUCUUUUAUCUUUGCAAUUAAUUUUUUU